rnacentral:sRNA from 1 species
AAAGAAGGGUGGACCUCUGAAGCCCCAGCUGGUCCCCAUGGGGCUACAGCUUUAGCUCCUUCCCAACCCUGCCCUGGACCCAAGCCGGGAGCUGGACAGGAGCUAUGUCGACACGCUGAGAUCACCUGCUGAGGAUGCAUCCACAGGGCUGGGCAUGGAGCUGGCAAAGGAGACCGCGUGGCGCGCAUUGGGCUGGGCGUGAUCCUGAACCUGGCGAAGGAGCGCGAACCCGUUGAGCUGGCGCGGAGCGUGGCAGGCAUCUUGGAGCACAUGUUCAAGCACUCGGAGGAGACGUGCCAGAGGCUGGUGGCGGCCGGCGGCCUGGACGCGGUGCUGUAUUGGUGCCGCCGCACGGACCCCGCGCUGCUGCGCCACUGCGCGCUGGCGCUGGGCAACUGCGCGCUGCACGGGGGCCAGGCGGUGCAGCGGCGCAUGGUGGAGAAGCGCGCAGCCGAGUGGCUCUUCCCGCUCGCCUUCUCCAAGGAGGACGAGCUGCUUCGGCUGCACGCCUGCCUCGCAGUAGCGGUGUUGGCGUCUAACAAGGAGGUGGAGCGCGAGGUGGAGCGCUCGGGCACGCUGGCGCUGGUGGAGCCGCUUGUGGCCUCGUUGGACCCUGGCCGCUUCGCCCGCUGUCUGGUGGACGCCAGCGACACAAGCCAGGGCCGCGGGCCGGACGACCUGCAGCGCCUCGUGCCGCUGCUCGACUCUAACCGCUUGGAGGCGCAGUGCAUCGGGGCUUUCUACCUCUGCGCGGAGGCUGCCAUCAAGAGCCUGCAAGGCAAGACCAAGGUGUUCAGCGACAUCGGCGCCAUCCAGAGCCUGAAACGCCUGGUUUCCUACUCUACCAAUGGCACUAAGUCGGCGCUGGCCAAGCGCGCCCUGCGCCUGCUGGGCGAGGAGGUGCCACGGCCCAUCCUGCCCUCCGUGCCCAGCUGGAAGGAGGCCGAAGUCCAGACGUGGCUGCAGCAGAUCGGUUUCUCCAAGUACUGCGAGAGCUUCCGGGAGCAGCAGGUGGAUGGCGACCUGCUUCUGCGGCUCACGGAGGAGGAACUCCAGACCGACCUGGGCAUGAAAUCGGGCAUCACCCGCAAGAGGUUCUUUAGGGAGCUCACGGAGCUCAAGACCUUCGCCAACUAUUCUACGUGCGACCGCAGCAACCUGGCCGACUGGCUGGGCAGCCUGGACCCGCGCUUCCGCCAGUACACCUACGGCCUGGUCAGUUGCGGCCUGGACCGCUCCCUGCUGCACCGCGUGUCUGAGCAGCAGCUGCUGGAAGACUGCGGCAUCCACCUGGGCGUGCACCGCGCCCGCAUCCUCACGGCGGCCAGAGAAAUGCUACACUCCCCGCUGCCCUGUACUGGUGGCAAACCCAGUGGGGACACUCCAGAUGUCUUCAUCAGCUACCGCCGGAACUCAGGUUCCCAGCUGGCCAGGUGCACCUGCAGCUGCAUGGCUUCAGUGUCUUCAUUGAUGUGGAGAAGCUGGAAGCAGGCAAGUUCGAGGACAAACUCAUCCAGAGUGUCAUGGGUGCCCGUAACUUUGUGCUGGUGCUGUCACCUGGAGCACUGGAUAAGUGCAUGCAAGACCAUGACUGCAAGGAUUGGGUGCAUAAGGAGAUUGUGACUGCUUUAAGCUGUGGCAAGAACAUUGUGCCCAUCAUUGAUGGCUUCGAGUGGCCUGAGCCCCAGGUCCUGCCUGAGGACAUGCAGGCUGUGCUUACUUUCAACGGUAUCAAGUGGUCCCACGAAUACCAGGAGGCCACCAUUGAGAAGAUCAUCCGCUUCCUGCAGGGUCGCUCCUCCCGGGACUCAUCUGCAGGCUCUGACACCAGUUUGGAGGCACAAGUGCUCACCGGGGCCAGAGCCAGGGCAUGGAUAUGACAAGCAGGGCAGCCUGGACACUGCCCUCACAGGACAGCGUC